GAGUAACACGUGGGAAACCUGCCCAGAAGCGGGGGAUAACACCUGGAAACAGAUGCUAAUACCGCAUAACAACUUGGACCGCAUGGUCCGAGCUUGAAAGAUGGCUUCGGCUAUCACUUUUGGAUGGUCCCGCGGCGUAUUAGCUAGAUGGUGGGGUAACGGCUCACCAUGGCAAUGAUACGUAGCCGACCUGAGAGGGUAAUCGGCCACAUUGGGACUGAGACACGGCCCAAACUCCUACGGGAGGCAGCAGUAGGGAAUCUUCCACAAUGGACGAAAGUCUGAUGGAGCAACGCCGCGUGAGUGAAGAAGGGUUUCGGCUCGUAAAACUCUGUUGUUAAAGAAGAACAUAUCUGAGAGUAACUGUUCAGGUAUUGACGGUAUUUAACCAGAAAGCCACGGCUAACUACGUGCCAGCAGCCGCGGUAAUACGUAGGUGGCAAGCGUUGUCCGGAUUUAUUGGGCGUAAAGCGAGCGCAGGCGGUUUUUUAAGUCUGAUGUGAAAGCCUUCGGCUCAACCGAAGAAGUGCAUCGGAAACUGGGAAACUUGAGUGCAGAAGAGGACAGUGGAACUCCAUGUGUAGCGGUGAAAUGCGUAGAUAUAUGGAAGAACACCAGUGGCGAAGGCGGCUGUCUGGUCUGUAACUGACGCUGAGGCUCGAAAGUAUGGGUAGCAAACAGGAUUAGAUACCCUGGUAGUCCAUACCGUAAACGAUGAAUGCUAAGUGUUGGAGGGUUUCCGCCCUUCAGUGCUGCAGCUAACGCAUUAAGCAUUCCGCCUGGGGAGUACGGCCGCAAGGCUGAAACUCAAAGGAAUUGACGGGGGCCCGCACAAGCGGUGGAGCAUGUGGUUUAAUUCGAAGCUACGCGAAGAACCUUACCAGGUCUUGACAUACUAUGCAAAUCUAAGAGAUUAGACGUUCCCUUCGGGGACAUGGAUACAGGUGGUGCAUGGUUGUCGUCAGCUCGUGUCGUGAGAUGUUGGGUUAAGUCCCGCAACGAGCGCAACCCUUAUUAUCAGUUGCCAGCAUUAAGUUGGGCACUCUGGUGAGACUGCCGGUGACAAACCGGAGGAAGGUGGGGAUGACGUCAAAUCAUCAUGCCCCUUAUGACCUGGGCUACACACGUGCUACAAUGGAUGGUACAACGAGUUGCGAACUCGCGAGAGUAAGCUAAUCUCUUAAAGCCAUUCUCAGUUCGGAUUGUAGGCUGCAACUCGCCUACAUGAAGUCGGAAUCGCUAGUAAUCGCGGAUCAGCAUGCCGCGGUGAAUACGUUCCCGGGCCU
rnacentral:rRNA from 1 species